rnacentral:rRNA from 1 species
AUUGAACGCUGGCGGCAUGCCUUACACAUGCAAGUCGAACGGCAGCACGGGUGCUUGCCCCUGGUGGCGAGUGGCGAACGGGUGAGUAAUACAUCGGAACAUGUCCUGUAGUGGGGGAUAGCCCGGCGAAAGCCGGAUUAAUACCGCAUACGAUCUACGGAUGAAAGCGGGGGACCUUCGGGCCUCGCGCUAUAGGGUUGGCCGAUGGCUGAUUAGCUAGUUGGUGGGGUAAAGGCCUACCAAGGCGACGAUCAGUAGCUGGUCUGAGAGGACGACCAGCCACACGGGGACUGAGACACGGCCCAGACUCCUACGGGAGGCAGCAGUGGGGAAUUUUGGACAAUGGGCGAAAGCCUGAUCCAGCAAUGCCGCGUGUGUGAAGAAGGCCUUCGGGUUGUAAAGCACUUUUGUCCGGAAAGAAAUCCUUGGCCCUAAUACGGUCGGGGGAUGACGGUACCGGAAGAAUAAGCACCGGCUAACUACGUG